GCAUCGAUGAAGAACGCAGCGAAAUGCGAUAAGUAAUGUGAAUUGCAGAAUUCAGUGAAUCAUCGAAUCUUUGAACGCACCUUGCGCUCCAUGGUAUUCCGUGGAGCAUGCCUGUUUGAGUGUCAUGAAUACUUCAACCCUCCUCUUUCUUAAUGAUUGAAGAGGUGUUUGGUUUCUGAGCGCUGCUGGCCUUUACGGUCUAGCUCGUUCGUAAUGCAUUAGCAUCCGCAAUCGAACUUCGGAUUGACUUGGCGUAAUAGACUAUUCGCUGAGGAAUUCUAGUCUUCGGACUAGAGCCGGGUUGGGUUAAAGGAAGCUUCUAAUCAGAAUGUCUACAUUUUAAGAUUAGAUCUCAAAUCAGGUAGGACUACCCGCUGAACUUAAGCAUAUCAAUAAGCGGAGGAA
rnacentral:rRNA from 1 species